UACGUAGGGUGCAAGCGUUAAUCGGAAUUACUGGGCGUAAAGCGUGCGCAGGCGGUUAUGUAAGACAGGUGUGAAAUCCCCCGGGCUUAACCUGGGAACUGCAUUUGUGACUGCAUAGCUAGAGUACGGUAGAGGGGGAUGGAAUUCCGCGUGUAGCAGUGAAAUGCGUAGAUAUGCGGAGGAACACCGAUGGCGAAGGCAAUCCCCCUGGACCUGUACUGACGCUCAUGCACGAAAGCGUGGGGAGCAAACGAGG
rnacentral:rRNA from 1 species